rnacentral:rRNA from 1 species
GACGAACGCUGGCGGCGUGCCUAAUACAUGCAAGUCGAACGGGAGCGACCGGUGCUUGCACUGGUCAAUCUAGUGGCGAACGGGUGAGUAACACGUGGGUAACCUGCCCAUCAGAGGGGGAUAACAUCCGGAAACGGAUGCUAAAACCGCAUAGGUCUUCGAGCCGCAUGGCUUGAAGAGGAAAAGAGGCGCAAGCUUCUGCUGAUGGAUGGACCCGCGGUGCAUUAGCUAGUUGGUUAGGUAACGGCUCACCAAGGCCGUGAUGCAUAGCCGACCUGAGAGGGUGAUCGGCCACAUUGGGACUGAGACACGGCCCAAACUCCUACGGGAGGCAGCAGUAGGGAAUCUUCCGCAAUGGACGCAAGUCUGACGGAGCAACGCCGCGUGAGUGAAGAAGGUUUUCGGAUCGUAAAACUCUGUUGUUAGAGAAGAACAAGUGCUAGAGUAACUGUUAGCGCCUUGACGGUAUCUAACCAGAAAGCCACGGCUAACUACGUG